rnacentral:lncRNA from 1 species
CCAUCAGACAAUUGAAAAGCCAAGGCAAGGGGAGACAGACUUACGGAGGGAGAGUGUGGAAGUUAUCAAAGAUGGGAAGAGUCUGCCUUCACUAUGUGGCCUUGGCACCCAGAGGGCUCCCACAGAAGGCUGCAGGCUGACUCAUGGUUUCUCUUGCUCUCGAAUGGGAUGGUGCCGGCCACAUGCGGUCCACCUGGAAGCAAGAGCCGGCUUUGUAGCCCUGCAGUCCAGAGUAAUUAGGAGUACAGGAGACAGCUGAGAACAGUGACUGCCCUGAACUUAGUCCCAUGACCCACACAUUCUCCUCACAGCCAGGAAGGCCUUGAGACCUUGAACUCCA